AAGUCGUAACAAGGUUUCCGUAGGUGAACCUGCGGAAGGAUCAUUACAACAAGGUUCCCUGGCCCUCGAAGCUUCGGCGGAGGGGUGCUACAGCCUGACUUUACACCCACCCUUUGCCUAUGUGUACCCCUAUUGCUUCCCUCGGCGGGUUCGCCGCCGACAGGAACCAACUAAACCCUUUGCAUUAUACAUUUAACACUUCCGAUACAAAACUAAAUUAUUACAA
rnacentral:misc_RNA from 1 species